ACAAUGAUACUUCCGUAAUUCGCGGUCCGGCCAUAAAGAAGGCGGGAUGGUUAAAUUCCAAUGG
rfam:Clostridium saccharolyticum WM1, complete genome.